UGCGUAGCUCAGCUGGAUAGAGCGUCUGGCUACGGACCAGAAGGUCGUGGGUUCGAAUCCUGUCGCAC
rnacentral:tRNA from 4 species